rnacentral:rRNA from 1 species
GACGAACGCUGGCGGCGUGCUUAACACAUGCAAGUCGAGCGGAAAGGCCCUUUCGGGGGUACUCGAGCGGCGAACGGGUGAGUAACACGUGAGUAAUCUGCCCUGGACUCUGGGAUAGCCACCGGAAACGGUGAUUAAUACCGGAUAUGACACCUUGCUGCAUGGUGGGGUGUGGAAGGUUUUUUCGGUCCAGGAUGUGCUCGCGGCCUAUCAGCUUGUUGGUAAGGUAAUGGCUCACCAAGGCUUUGACGGGUAGCCGGCCUGAGAGGGUGGCCGGUCACACUGGGACUGAGACACGGCCCAGACUCCUACGGGAGGCAGCAGUGGGGAAUAUUGGACAAUGGGCGGAAGCCUGAUCCAGCAACGCCGCGUGAGGGAUGACGGCCUUCGGGUUGUAAACCUCUUUCAGUACCGACGAAGCGAAAGUGACGGUAGGUACAGAAGAAGGACCGGCCAACUACGUGCCAGCAGCCGCCGUAACAC